rnacentral:rRNA from 1 species
AUGCAAGUCGAGCGGAACGACUUAACUGAACCUUCGGGGAACGUUAAGGGCGUCGAGCGGCGGACGGGUGAGUAAUGCCUGGGAAUAUGCCUUAGUGUGGGGGAUAACUAUUGGAAACGAUAGCUAAUACCGCAUAAUGUCUUCGGACCAAAGAGGGGGACCUUCGGGCCUCUCGCGCUAAGAUUAGCCCAGGUGAGAUUAGCUAGUUGGUGAGGUAAGAGCUCACCAAGGCGACGAUCUCUAGCUGGUCUGAGAGGAUGAUCAGCCACACUGGAACUGAGACACGGUCCAGACUCCUACGGGAGGCAGCAGUGGGGAAUAUUGCACAAUGGGCGAAAGCCUGAUGCAGCCAUGCCGCGUGUAUGAAGAAGGCCUUCGGGUUGUAAAGUACUUUCAGUAGGGAGGAAGGUUCAUGCGUUAAUAGCGUAUGGAUUUGACGUUACCUACAGAAGAAGCACCGGCUAACUCCGUGCCAGCAGCCGCGGUAAUACGGAGGGUGCGAGCGUUAAUCGGAAUUACUGGGCGUAAAGCGCAUGCAGGUGGUUCAUUAAGUCAGAUGUGAAAGCCCGGGGCUCAACCUCGGAACCGCAUUUGAAACUGGUGAACUAGAGUGCUGUAGAGGGGGGUAGA